CUGACAUAAAAAGUAAAAUCACUUUUUCAUUAGCUUUCUCUUGAUCUCAGAUUUCUACCUAAGGGGAUGUUAGCUCUAAAUUCUUCAUUUCUAAGCACUGCCCUGAGCUGUCCUCCCCUGCACGGUCUCAGGAAAUGGCUCCUCAUGCCCCCAACCCUGCAGGCCGGCCGAAGCAUUGGAUUCUUACCCUUUGCACAGUUCAGAUACGCCCAUUUGAGCACACGCUCGGUGGAACACCAAGUUAAAGUACCAAAUUUAUGUUAGUUAUUUCAGGGAGAGAAUAUCAGCUGUUUCAAAUUCUAGACUCCAGCCUGGGCUAAACGAGAACUGUCACGUCGUCCACGGUGUAUUCAUUUUUCCGCAAAAAUAACAUCAGUCUGGGAGGAACAUAGUGAGUGUCCAACAAUGUAGAAUCAAGGUCUAUAAACAGGAAGAGUAAGACCAAAGCGUCAGAUUACAAACAUUUCCCAGAACCCUCAGCUGGCAGACAGCUCUCUACGGAGUGAGUCUUUUCUUUCCUUUCUGCCCCAUACAUACAUUAAUGCCGAUCUUAGAAGCUCAUUGUCACACCCUUUGUGGCAGAGAACUGUAUAAUUAGAGGGUUCCCAUUGCUAAGGCAUUUGAAAAGACCAGUAGAAAUUAGCUUUAGCGUAACUAGUCUCUGCCACUCCUUCUGACCUUAAGGGCAAUGUGUGCAUCUUACAUCCGUCCUCUGGGGGCUGGCUUGUGCUUGCUCCCUUCUCUUUGGCAGUGACUUUAAAUAACCAAGUUCUUAUUAUAAUCUUUGGAUUUAAAAUUAAGUUCUGAUGGUUUCUUCUCAGGGCACCCCUACGAGGCCCUGUUUAUCCCCAGCCAAAUCAGCUGCUUCCCCAGCAUUCCAAUAUUGGAAAUGUUAUUGUUCCUAAUAAACAACUCAAAUAUGUAUUUUCAUUUAAUCUUUCCCUUUACCUCCACUUCGCAUGCGUUGCUGCCUGCCACACAGUUUCCAUGAGGAUCGGCCAUGACGUCAUUAUAUGAAGGAUGAAUUUGGGUUUGCUUUAAUUAAAAAAAUUACUUUUACUCAGAUGUUGGCUGGGCUUGGAGUUGUUCUCUAUGGCCCGGAGGUUUUAGGGUAAGACUAGUGUGAGGGUGUGUGUGUGUGUGUGUGUGUGUGUGUGUGUUUUGGAAGGGUCUCCUGUUCUGUUAAGGAAUUCAUUGUCUAUUUCUCCUCAUGGAACACAAAUUGGUUUAGGCAAGUGGAGACUGAGAAGAAGAGAUUCCCAAAGAUGUUUUCUGUGUGCAAAGCAUAAGCUAUCCAUCUGGGUACAAAGGGCGAGGAUGCAGCAAGAUGACCUCUCCUGGCCCCUGUGACCAACAUGCAGGAGUCUAGGAGCUGCAUUCGAAGGAAAAAAAAAAAAAAAAAAAAAAACCCCAAAAGGCAGGACUGCAGCUUCCACCGGGGAACUUCCAUAAACUACAGGAACGGACAGAGAUGUUCCGUAGUACUUUAUAACAAUAGGUCCUUUGGUCCUGAACACAGCUUUUAUUGCUCCUGUUUUAUGUCCUACAAAUAGUAACAGACAUUCUCCUUUUCUGUCGAGCACAGAAAGCCCCUGGCCCAGACAAGAAGCAACUCUGCACUGCUUUUCAGACAUCAUUCUCCCUCUCAACUACAGAAACUCUUUGGUUUCUAUUAUAUUUCUGGCCUUUCACAUUCCCGAUGGUUCAUUUGAUGAAACCCAGUUGCCAGGUGUAUGAAUGUGGUUGAAAAGACCCACGCAGGACCAGCGACACCUUCCCACAGCAUGGGAUGGUCCCCUCCCGAGAUGCCCAACUGCCAGCAGGACUGGUACUGAGUUGUUUUCCCACCUGAGGGUCAUAUGACCCUCUAGUGCUUUUUGUCCUGGUCCCUUUUUAAGUAACCGCACACAUUGCAUGCUCUCUGGCCAGCGUCCCUGACUGAGGGCAGAGUUCUCCUGUGUAGACUUUUCCACAAUCAACAUUGGCUCUGAGCUUUAGGAAUGGACCAAGGACGGCCACCAUUUUUCCUGUUUACAAUGGGAUUAUCCAGGCAUGAACUUCAGAAAACAUGUGUGGGAUUCUGGAAUAGGCUGGGCAGCUUUGUAGCACAUUCUCUGGUCCUGGACCAGACGCCAAGCACUGCAUCCUGUCCGCUCCUGUAACAGCCGUUUCAUUGUUUGCUUAGCAAUUCUGCUGCGUCUGCAGAUUGCCUUGUCUGAGAAGCAGCCCUGAGAAGUUGAGGAUGGUGACAAUCUUUAAAGAAACAUGUUUGAUGAGAUGCAUAUUGGGCAGAGAAGUAGUGGGAGGUGGAGGAGAGGCUGAAAGACUCCUGCUUGGGCUGUGACGCCACCAUCCACAUUGCCAUCGGAAACUGAUCUGAACCAGCCAGUAAGAGAGGGCGUUGAGAGGAGGCCUGAUCCCAGGAAGUAAAAGUAAACUCAGCUCACUUUUCUGAAGUAAUAACUACUGAGUUGAAGUGUACACGAAAAUAAGCAUAACGUGCUCCUGUUACUGGUCUUUGCACAAAUGGACAUGCUUGUCUGAAAUAAGAAGUAUCCAGCACUGUGCUUAGCGCUAUCCGUGAGGAGAGAGAAAGUUCUUCUUGUGAUGGUGAUGUGGUUGCGAGUGAUGCCGUGAUGGUCAGUCACAUAGAAGCCAGAACUGCAGGAUGUCUUUGACGAGAAGAUUGGGCAGAGGACCAGAGCAGGACCCAAGAAGGUGGAAUUGAAUGAUGGACAUGGGAGCAUCCAGAGUGGAGCAGGGUAGCACCUGCUGCUCUGUGGGCCUUGGUCAUUGCUCCUGAGUGAAGUUUCCAAAGUCAAGCUUGUGACUACAGAAAGACUCUGACAACAGGCAGAGGGAACGCUUGGACCAUUAGAGGAAGGUAGACGAUGUUGGACCACCGGCCAAGUCCAGUGAUGCCUGUUCCCAAGGGAGAACACCCUAAGAGGAGAGAGAGCAAUUAAGGACAUUGACUUUUUCUUUUUUUUCUCCUCAAGUCAUGAACUUAACCAAUUUACUGGAAUUUUAAAAGAAUUUACUUGAAACAACAACAAGAACAACAUGCCGAUAACCUCACAACCCAUUAGGUACUCAGGCUUUCUGGAAGGGCAGCUAUAUAAGUACACCCUCUGGGUCCAAUUUGCAUUGUCAUCUUGGAUGGGAAGAACAUGGGGAUGACAAGUUAGAUUGAAGAGCUGCUAAAAGCCAGAAAAACAACAAGCGUCUAAUCCAUCAAUGGAAAACUGUCAGUCCCUUAUGUCUUUCUGAGACUUGGUUUGAUGGUAAUUCAAGCAAAACUUCUGAGUUUUUAACCAGACCUUAAUGACAAAGAAAAUAAACCAUUCCGAGUAAAGGACUCAUAAAAAGAACUAUGUAUCUCAUUUUUGGUUCCACAGAGAGUAAAUUUGGGUAAUAUAGUUUACUUAGAAGAAGAGGAACUCUAAACAAGGAGAUGAUGUAGCUGCAUAUGUGAAACCCGGCCAGUGAGUUUUGGAGGUGAAAUUACCUUGAUUAAUGACGAUGAUCUUCAGUGACCUUGCUCUGGCCUUGGGUUGGAACAUGUAUUGCAGAUGACAAAAACUCCCGGGCAGUGGAGCCCUGCUUCCUCUCUCCAGCCCGCCCUGCUCAGUCAUCAAGGGUUUGUCUCUGCAUCGCUGGUCUCCUAGGCUAAGCGAACUGUCUCAAAGCUGGGGGUUUCCAGGGCUUUCCUCUCUCCCUGCGGAGAACUGGGAACCCCCAUGAAGUCUAAAUGGCAGCUAGAAGUUGUCAGCUGCAUCAGGGAAAGCCUCAGAGAAACGUAAUGUGUAAAAGGCACCGCAGCAUGGAAGCCCGCGGGUCCUCUCUGAUUCUCGGCUCCAGCGCUGCGGGAGCCCCGCUGUUCUGCCAUAAAAACAACUCGGAACAGCAAGCCUGGGGAUGCAGACGCGCAUCGCCAACUCACAGCAGUCCCAGCGGCGCCGGCUUCUGAGAUCUCGGGAAAUGUUUCUUGCUGAGCAGUUUCGAGUGCCGCCCCUAGUAGAUCAGAGAGUGGCUUUCUUUCCCAUUUAUCUCAGUACAGCCUUGAGUGCAUAGCUGGGCAUCGUUAGAGCCUCAGAAAUUAGGCCUGCUCGGUCAGGUUUGCUGAAGCCUUGCUUGUCUAUCCUCCCUCUGCUGCUCAUCCCGGCUUCCUUUAUUGCUGCCCACGUGGAUGGGCUCAAAAGACACACGCAUUUGCCUGCUACAAAGAUAUUCCCGGUUCCCAGAAAACCGAGCCGAAAGAGCGCACGGUGGUGGCGUGGAAAGAGCAUUGGUGAGGAACACAGAGCCUGGGUUCUGAUCUCGACUGGGUCGUGACCGAUCCAAACAACUCUGCGGAAGCCCUGUCACUUCUCAGGGGCUAGAGAGACCAGGGUGAGCUGGCACUGACCGCUUUAGAACGGGGCCCCAGGCAGUCUGCUUGGGGGCUGUGGAAAAUGGAGCCAGAGGCAAGGAGGGGAACCUUCUGGCAUCUUCCACCCAUUCCAACUGGGGCAGGUCCAGUUUUAUGUGCCAACUGCUUGACAUCCCAGAAUCCCCUAGAGGUUUUAUUUAAAGAAAUUUAGAGACAGGCUUACAAGGCUUAGAACAUUUCAAAACCACUUAACUAGGUGACCUACAGAAUUCUGAUUUUAUGAUUUUUUCUGGUAUUUGUUGGAUUUUGGACAUUUUGCAAAGUGUUUAUUGAUGGCUGGUACAGCAGAUUGCUUAUCGACUUCUGUAUUCAUCUACAGAGUGUAUUAAAGACUAAAAAGAGACAUACAAUGAUUCUUUACUAUUUCUUCUAGAGAGAUGGCUAUUGCCUUAAUGAUUGUGGCACUGGUUGCCAAUUCACUAAUGGUUGAAACAUAUCAUUAGAACUCGAGAACUUGGUCCUAGUCAUGACUGUGCCACUAACCGUGGCCUUGAAUACAUCUUUCACUCUCUUGGGAGGGAGGCAGCCUACUGCAUGAUUAGGAGCUUGAGAUGUGCAGCCAGACUGCCUGGGUUCAAAUCCCAGCCCAACUGCUUUUCAGCUAAAUGGUUUUGGACAGAUCAUUGUACCUCUGUGUGCUUCAGUUUGUUAUCACUAAAAUGAAGAUAAUACUGCCUACUUCAUUGGGCUGUCAUGUGUGUUAAAUAUGUUAAUUCAUGCAAAGUGCUUAGCUGAGAGCCUGGCAUAAAUUACAUUCCCAAUCCACCUUAGCUUUGAUUAUCUUUGGGGUCUUUUUUUCCUUGUGUGUAAUAAGAAGUGGUUGGUUUGGGUGAUGGAUAAAGUCAUCAACUACUUUAUGAGACUGUACACCCGUGGUUUCACUGUUGUAUUUCCAGGGCCUUGCACAAUGCCUGGCACAUAAUUGCUUGGUGACUGAAUGACCAAGUGUCUGCAUUUCUCCUUGGAGGAACUAUAUAAGAACCUAUUUACAGAUAUUUCUUCUGCAGAAAUGUUGCCUCAUGAAAUUAAAACUACCCAGUGUUUAGAUGAAUGAAUUAAGAAUGUUAACCAUUUAUGGAGAACUAACUCUUUUGGUCAGUGUCCAGUCUGGAAAAUGAAUGAACUCAAGAUAAUUAGUUCACUAGAGGUCACUGAACAUGAGGAAUGAGUUACAAAAAGGCCAGAACUUGAAAGCCAGCAGGGAUGGUGAGGCAGCCCAGAGAACAGCUGCAACCACGCUGAAGGUGGUGGAGGAAAAAUCGAGGAGAUGAUGCUGCAGCCCAGAUGCUGAGGAGCUGGAAGUCAGGGCUGUGAAGGGACAGGCUGUCUGGUGGGAUAGAUGCUCCCAGAUUCACAGGCCAAAUAGAGAGGAACCUGUCUCCAAACUUCCACCCACUCCUCCCAUUGGCUAAAUCCAUCUAGGAGCUAACUGGCAAAGGAGGAUAAAAAUUGUAGUUUGCAGAGGCACUUCCCUGUGAUCCAAAGAGCUGCACACAAGGGUGGCGAAUGGAUUUGAGAGCAAACAGGCCUGUGGGUCAAAUUCAGACUGCUGUCUGUUUUUGUCAAUAAAGUUUUAUUGGAACACA